rnacentral:lncRNA from 1 species
GGCGGGCGUGUGGCCCGGCUCUGUAGAGCUGGGUUGCAGGGAACAGUAUUUUCACAACCUUGGCCUUGAACUGGUCCUUUUUGGAUGCCCUGUGUGUGUGCAGGUGCUGUGCUGCCUCCUGCUGCCCUUCUGAACCGAGAUAAUCCAGUGACAACUUUUGGCCUUGGCUCGUCCCUGUUACUUAGAAACAUGGUCAGAGGGGACCUUGGCCCAGCUGCAGGCUUCUACCCUCCAGGAAGGACAUCGCUCCCCACAACCGAUGACUUUGAAGUGGUACCGAGGCUUUGGCUACAGCAAGAGUUCAUUUGUGCCAGAGUGGCUGCAUCGGCCCGAGGAUAAUCCAAUCCAGGAAGAUGUCUGUCACCGGCUCUGCUCUCCUGCCAGGGCUGCCAGCCUGUGGGUUCCACUGUGGGGCCAGAGUGACAACAAGAGGACCCUUGAAGAGAUCGGCGCCAAGGGCAGUGGAGGCUGCUGUGUGGUCCCCUGGGAGGACUGGGCACCUCCUCCCUGCUGGGAACCUUCUCUGACCUGUGUCAGGGCAGAGAUUCAGGCUUGUAUUUUAAAUAAUACAAUUAAAAAUUCCAC